GACGUAGGGCGCGAGCGUUGUCCGGAUUUACUGGGCGUAAAGCGCACGUAGGCGGAUCGUUAAGUCGGGGGUGAAAUCUCGGAGCUUAACUCCGAAACUGCAUUCGAUACUGCCGUGCUUGAGGACUGGAGAGGAGACUGGAAUUUACGGUGUAGCGGUGAAAUGCGUAGAUAUCGUAAGGAAGACCAGUGGCGAAGGCGGGUCUCUGGACAGUUCCUGACGCUGAGGCACGAAGGUCAGGGGAGCAAACGGG
rnacentral:rRNA from 1 species